GACGAACGCUGGCGGCGUGCUUAACACAUGCAAGUCGAGCGGUAAGGCCCUUUCGGGGGUACACGAGCGGCGAACGGGUGAGUAACACGUGGGUGACCUGCCCUCAGCUCUGGGAUAAGCCUGGGAAACCGGGUCUAAUACUGGAUAUGACUCCAUGACGCAUGUUGUGGGGUGGAAAGCCUUGUGCGGCUGAGGAUGGGCCCGCGGCCUAUCAGCUUGUUGGUGGGGUGANGGCCUACCAAGGCGACGACGGUAGCCGGCCUGAGAGGGCGACCGGCCACACUGGGACUGAGACACGGCCCAGACUCCUACGGGAGGCAGCAGUGGGGAAUCUUGCGCAAUGGGCGAAAGCCUGACGCAGCGACGCCGCGUGAGGGAUGACGG
rnacentral:rRNA from 1 species